rnacentral:lncRNA from 1 species
UAUAAGGUAAAUGAUUUUAUUUAUGACAAACGAAUUUACUUAAAUUAAUAGCUUUAUUAGUUGAUUUUAUGAUUUCUACCAACAUUUAUUUUUGUGUAAGUGAGUAGCGUGACAUUCUUACUAGGCUAGAGUAGCUCACUCCUUUAUUAACUAUUUCAUAUCAAGAGGACCAAGAUACAGAACUCGAUCCACAAGAGGGUUGCGAGUAGAACGUUCAGUUUUUUUACUUUUCAUUUAUUUUUUUAAUUAUUAGUUGUUCUUUAAGAAGGGUCAUUCUCGUAGUCCUAUUGGAUAUCAUGAAUUAUUGUGUAAGGAAUAUAAACCCUAAUUUAUUAUUUUGCUUUCGCAUUCAAUUCAUAAUUUAUUUUCUUUCUAGUU